GUUUUAGCCCUUCAAAAACAUCCGAUAAAAUUGGAACAAUAUAGAGAAGAUUAAAACGGUCCCUGACAAAGAUGACACAAACAAAUCGAGAAUGAUCCAAAUUUACU